rnacentral:rRNA from 1 species
AUACGGAGGGUGCAAGCGUUAAUCGGAUUUACUGGGCGUAAAGCGCGCGUAGGCGGUUUGGUAAGUCGGAUGCGAAAUCCCAGGGCUCAACCUUGGAACUGCAUUCGAUACUGCCUCACUAGAGUAUGGUAGAGGGAAGUGGAAUUCCGGGUGUAGCGGUGAAAUGCGUAGAUAUCCGGAGGAACAUCAGUGGCGAAGGCGACUUCCUGGCCCGACACUGACGCUGAGACGCGAAAGCGUGGGUAGCAAACAGGAUUAGAUACCCCUGUAGUCC